rnacentral:rRNA from 1 species
GCUUAACCUUCGGGAGGGCGCUUACCACUUUGUGAUUCAUGACUGGGGUGAAGUCGUAACAAGGUAACCGUAGGGGAACCUGCGGUUGGAUCACCUCCUUACCUGAAAGAA